rnacentral:rRNA from 1 species
GAGGGAAAGGCGAAAAGAACCCCGGAGAGGGGAGUGAAAUAGAACCUGAAACCGUGUGCGUACAAGCAGUGGGAGCCUCCGCAAGGGGGUGACUGCGUACCUUUUGUAUAAUGGGUCAGCGAGUUACUUUCAGUGGCAAGGCUAACCGAAUAGGGGAGCCGUAGGGAAACCGAGUCUUAAUCGGGCGUUUCAGUCGCUGGGAGUAGACCCGAAGCCAGUCGAUCUAUCCAUGUCCAGGGUGAAAGUAGGGUAACACCUACCGGAGGCCCGAACGAACCACUGUUGCAAUAGUGCGUCGAUGAGGUGUGGAUAGGAGUGAAAGGCUAAUCAAGGCUGGCGAUAGCUGGUUCUCCCCGAAAGCUAUUUAGGUAGUGCCUCGUGUCAUUCACCCUUGGGGGUAGAGCACUGUUUAGACUAGGGGAACAUCCCGUUCUACCAAAUCUAUGCAAACUCCGAAUACCAAGGAGUGUUAUCACGGGAGACACACGGCGGGUGCUAACGUCCGUCGUGAAGAGGGAAAUAACCCAGACCAUCAGCUAAGGUCCCAAAGUUUCGGCUAAGUGGUAAACGAUGUGGGAAGGCUAAAACAGCUAGGAGGUUGGCUUAGAAGCAGCCAUCCUUUAAAGAAAGCGUAAUAGCUCACUAGUCUAGUCGGCCUGCGCGGAAGAUUUAACGGGGCUUAAGCCGAGCACCGAAGCUAUGGGUGUAAUGAUCUUCGGAUUGUUACGCGGUAGGGGAGCGUUCUGUAAGCCUGCGAAGGUGAACUGCGAGGUUUGCUGGAGGUAUCAGAAGUGCGAAUGCUGACAUGAGUAACGUUAAUGCGGGUGAAAAACCCGCACGCCGAAAACCCAAGGUUUCCUGAGCUAUGUUAAUCAGCUGAGGGUGAGUCGGAUCCUAAGGCGAGACCGAAAGGUGUAGUCGAUGGAAAGCAGGUUAAUAUUCCUGCACCGGCGAUCAUUGCGAUGGGGUGACGGAGAAGGCUAGAUCAGCGGCAGCAGUGCCGUUCAAGGCCGUAGGGGUCAUCUCCCGGUAAAUCCGGAGGUGAGCUAUCCCCGAGAACUGAGUACUAGGAGACUUCGGUCUCCGAAGUGAUUGAUGCCACGCUUCCAGGAAAAGCCUCUAAGCUUCAGAUGAUCGACGACCGUACCGCAAACCGACACUGGUGGGUGGGGAGAUAAUCUCCCAAGGCGCUUGAGAGAACUCGGGUUAAGGAACUCUGCAAAUUGAUACCGUAACUUCGGAAGAAGGUAUACCUCCCAGGGUGAUUGGACUUGCUCCAUGAGCUCCGAGAGGUCGCAGGUAAUCGGUGGCUGCGACUGUUUACCAAAAACACAGGACUCUGCUAACACGUAAGUGGAUGUAUAGGGUCUGACGCCUGCCCGGUGCCGGAAGGUUAAUUGAUGGGGUCAGCCGCAAGGCGAAGCUCUUGAUCGAAGCCCCGGUAAACGGCGGCCGUAACUAUAACGGUCCUAAGGUAGCGAAAUUCCUUGUCGGGUAAGUUCCGACCUGCACGAAUGGCGUAACGCUGGCCCCACUGUCUCGACCCGAGACUCAGUGAACUUGAAAUCGCUGUGAAGAUGCGGCGUAGCUGCGGAAAGACGGAAAGACCCCGUGA